CGCGAACGCUGGCGGCAUGCUUAACACAUGCAAGUCGCACGGGCAGCAAUGUCAGUGGCGGACGGGUGAGUAUCGCGUAGGAAUGUAUCCUGAGGUGGGGGACGAACCCUCGGGAACGUAGGGCGUAAUACCGCAUACGGACUGAGGUCCAAAGACCGUCGAGGCGCCUUCGGGUAGGCAGCCUGCGUCCGAUUAGGUAGUUGGUGGGGUAAAGGCCUACCAAGCCUGCGANCGGUAGCUGGUCUGAGAGGACGACCA
rnacentral:rRNA from 1 species